rnacentral:rRNA from 1 species
UACGUAGGGUGCGAGCGUUGUCCGGAAUUACUGGGCGUAAAGAGCUCGUAGGCGGUUUGUCGCGUCUGCUGUGAAAUCCCGAGGCUCAACCUCGGGCUUGCAGUGGGUACGGGCAGACUAGAGUGCGGUAGGGGAGACUGGAAUUCCUGGUGUAGCGGUGGAAUGCGCAGAUAUCAGGAGGAACACCGAUGGCGAAGGCGGUCUCU